rnacentral:rRNA from 1 species
CAGUCGCCCGGGAAUACAGAGGGUGCGAGCGUUAAUCGGAUUUACUGGGCGUAAAGCGCGCGUAGGUGGUUUGGUAAGAUGGAUGUGAAAUCCCCGGGCUCAACCUGGGAACUGCAUCCAUAACUGCCUGACUAGAGUACGGUAGAGGGUGGUGGAAUUUCCUGUGUAGCGGUGAAAUGCGUAGAUAUAGGAAGGAACACCAGUGGCGAAGGCGACCACCUGGACUGAUACUGACACUGAGGUGCGAAAGCGUGGGGAGCAAACAGGAUUAGAUACCCGCGUAGUCCCUGUCUCUUAUACC